rnacentral:rRNA from 1 species
UACGAAGGGUGCAAACGUUGCUCGGAAUUAUUGGGCGUAAAGCGCACGUAGGCGGCUUAGCAAGUCGGAAGUGAAAGCCCUUGGCUCAACCAAGGAAGUGCUUUCGAAACUGCUGAGCUUGAGUAGUUAAGAGGAUCGCGGAAUUCCCGGUGUAGAGGUGAAAUUCGUAGAUAUCGGGAGGAACACCAGUGGCGAAGGCGGCGAUCUGGGAACAUACUGACGCUGAGGUGCGAAAGCGUGGGGAACAAACAGG